AACACUCGCUCCCACACGCAUUUCGUGAUCCCGCAUCUGCGUUUUCUUCCCUCCUCUCUCUCUUUCGCUCUCUAUCUCUCUCUCUCUCUACUGCCUUUAUGCUUCACUUCUCCGCCGAAUCCCUCUCUUCGUCCGUCGCUUCCUCCGAAAUCUGCCCAGCCAAAUCUCACACUUCUGCUUCGCUCCCGAUACGAACACCGCACUCUUCACUUCCGGCAUAUUUGUUUCUCGGAAACAGCAUUUCUUCUUCUUUUAGUUUCUGGAAAUCAUUCGGUCGAUUGAAAACUUUAGGGUUUAGAGAGGCAUGAGGCUGCACGAUGAGAUUGUACCGUUUCAUAGAAGCGGAAUACGAGGAGAUGAAGAAUAUGUGGAAGGAGAUGAAGAGGAGGAAAUUUCCUCUAUAGAAGCUGGGUUUCUUCCUCCUCAUCAUCCUUGUCCUCUCCAGAGGAAACUCGUUGUUGUUGGUUACGCUCUUACCUCCAAGAAAAUUAAGAGCUUCUUGCAGCCAAAGCUCGAGGGUUUAGCUAGGAAUAAAGGUAUAUUAUUUCUUGCAAUUGAUCAAAACAGGCCCCUUUCAGAUCAAGGCCCUUUUGACAUUGUUUUGCAUAAGCUAACUGGAAAGGAGUGGCGACAGAUUCUUGAGGACUACAGAAGGACUCAUCCAGAAGUCACUGUACUUGAUCCUCCAGAUGCUAUUCAACAUUUACACAAUCGUCAGUCUAUGCUUCAGUGUGUGGCUGAUAUGAAUCUAUCGAACUCCUAUGGUAAAGUAGAUAUUCCCAGGCAAUUAGUUAUCAAAAAGGAUGCAGCAUCCAUCCCUGACACAGUCACAAACGCUGGGCUGAUGCUACCAAUUGUUGCGAAGCCACUAGUUGCAGAUGGGAGUGCAAAGUCGCAUGAAUUAUCAAUUGCUUAUGAUCAACACUCCCUUAAGAAACUCGAACCUCCACUUGUUCUUCAGGAGUUUGUUAACCAUGGAGGUGUUCUCUUCAAAGUUUAUAUUGUAGGGGAGGCCAUUAAGGUGGUCCGGCGGUUCUCUUUACCUGAUGUCUGUAAACGGGAACUCUCCAAUAUUGCAGGUGUCUUCCGUUUUCCACGGGUUUCUUGUGCAGCAGCAUCUGCAGAUGAUGCUGAUUUGGAUCCUGGUGUUGCUGAGCUUCCUCCACAACCAUUGCUUGAGAGACUUGCAAAGGAACUUCGUCACCGACUUGUAGCUCUUCUGGUCUCCGGCUGUUUAAUUUGGAUAUAAUCCGAGAGCAUGGGACCAGAGAUCAAUUUUAUGUCAUUGACAUCAACUACUUCCCUGGAUAUGGGAAAAUGCCAGAAUAUGAGCAUAUAUUUACGGACUUCCUUUUGAGCCUGGGGCAGAGUCAAUACAAGAAAAGAUCCUCAUAGGAACUGUUGGGAAGUGUCGCUGACUUUGCAGUAUGUCAAAAACAUGAUGUUGCCUGAAUAAGUGUUUGCGGGUUGAGAGCUUUUUUGCUUUGCUAAACUAUGUAUAGCAUAAUGUAGUUCCUGCCAGCGGCUGGAGGAGGACAUGCGCAAAAUGCAAAUUCUUCCAACCUUCAACCUCUGUAACUAUUGACUUGCUGGUAGGACUCUGGCGCUUUCAUCUCCCUGACGCGAAGCUGGAUUUACUUAAUAUGAUAUGUUUGUCGUAUAAUUCUUUCAUGUUGUUCCAAUGUUUUAUGAGCAGUUUUGUGAAUCGUGAGAAGACACCACCUCAUAUUGUCUGUAGGCCGUGGCGGAACUAGAAAUGAAGGUGAAAAUCUUAAAAUUUUUUGUU